rnacentral:rRNA from 1 species
UACGUAGGGGGCAAGCGUUGUCCGGAUUUAUUGGGCGUAAAGAGCGUGUAGGCGGCCGCACAGGUCCGUUGUGAAAACUGGAGGCUUAACCUUCAGACGUCGAUGGAAACCGUGCGGCUAGAGUCCGGAAGAGGAGAAUGGAAUUCCUGGUGUAGCGGUGAAAUGCGCAGAUAUCAGGAAGAACACCAAUGGCGAAAGCAGCUCUCUGGGACGGUACUGACGCUGAGACGCGAAAGCGUGGGGAGCGAACAGG